AUUUUGGUGAAGAUGACGCCUACCACUGGGCUCCUGGGAAGGCUUCUACAUGCUGGACCUCACCAAUUAUCUAAUUUUUAUAAUAAGCUCACUUUCCCUAAUUGCUUUACUUCUAUCAACAGGUACCGUGGAAAGAUAAGGAUAUUUCAUCUUUCAAGGGAGAGAAUUUCAGGUACGGUCUGUAAAGAGAAGUUUAUUAAAGAAAAAAAUAAAGGAUUUGGCCUUUGAACUCACUGGCAAAAAAAAGUGGUAUUAGGUAUUGGGGACGCACAAGGCAUACUGGGUGGUAUUUUUUGUUUUUUUUCCGGAGGAUCCCCUUUUCUUUUGCUGCCUCCGUAUUAUCACUUCCAACGGCAGAAUGUCAAGGUCCAACUCCAAUGGGCAAUGUCUUUCCAGGAUCUAACAAUCUCAGGUACCAGAAGGACUGGGGCAUGGUCAUUCCUCCCCUCCAGGUGAAAAAGACAAGUGAGGGGAAUUUAGAAAAUCAGGGAGGAGACUGUAUUCCUCGGGGUUAACAGUUCUGCCCUAAAUCGAAAAUCACCUCCAUUCCUUCAAGUUGUGUGGCUUGGCCAAGUUGCUCUGCCCCUCCGACCCUUCAACUGGAAAAUGGAACUAUUAAUCCCUUCCUUACAGACACCGUUGGAAGGAGAACCCUAUUAGUCUCAGCCUAAUCUGCACCGGGCUUGGUAGACAGAUUCCCGGACCCACUGAAUGCAGCUCUACCAAGAAGCAGCCUGGGAAAACCAGCGCCCUAGAUGAGUCCUCCGUUUGGGAAACGCUGAGGUAACAAGGAAAGUACUUAGAGGAAUACUAACAAUCCUUGGUGGUGAGGUUCCGCCCAUUUGACAAGCAACCCCUCUACCAGUGCGCACCGAGAAACCGACCCGAGCGGGCAGGGGCCGGGGAGGGUCACCCGCAUCUCCCUCCUGGGAAGGUAAUGCCCUCGCCGAUCUUCGCUCCCAGAAGCGCCCUCGCAGGUAUUCCAGCGCCGCCGGCCAGGGAGCCUCGGAGCCGAGGUGCGCCAGGUGGCGAGGGUGCCAGGCGCGGCUAAGUCGAGGCGGACUGAGUCAGCCGCCCAGCUAUGCUGCGGAACCAGGGCGGCCGGCUUUGCCGCCCCCGCCGCUGAGCCCGCGCUGCCCCCGCGCCGGGCGCCGGCUGCCCGCCCCCGCGGGUGGAGAGGAAGCAGCCGAGGCGCGGCGCGAGAGCACCUGGGCAGGCGCCGGCGGCGGGCNNNNNNNNNNNNNNNNNNNNNNNNNNNNNNNNNNNNNNNNNNNNNNNNNNNNCGGCCGCGGCGCGCCAGCCCGUGUGACAGCGCCGCCCGCGCGGCCGCCGCCCGGCAGCAGACGCGGUGCGGGCAGCCGGCGGGAACCCGGGAGGAGGAGGCCCCGCGCCUGGGACGGACGGAUUUUUCAACUCUUUGAGAGAAGACAUUGCAUCUUCACUUUCUUUGUGGCACUUGACACGGUUCUCAGAUGA
rnacentral:lncRNA from 1 species